rnacentral:rRNA from 1 species
CCUACGGGAGGCAGCAGUGGGGGAUAUUGCACAAUGGGGGGAACCCUGAUGCAGCGACGCCGCGUGAGUGAAGAAGCGCCUCGGCGCGUAAAGCUCUGUCAGUAGGGAAGAAAAUGACGGUACCUGAAGAAGAAGCCCCGGCUAACUACGUGCCAGCAGCCGCGGUAAUACGUAGGGGGCAAGCGUUAUCCGGAUUUACUGGGUGUAAAGGGGGCGCAGACGGCGAUGCAAGCCAGGAGUGAAAGCCCGGGGCCCAACCCCGGGACUGCAGUUGAAACUGCGUGGCUGGAGUGCAGGAGGGGCAGGCGGAAUUCCUGGUGUAGCGGUGAAAUGCGUAGAUAUCAGGAGGAACACCGGUGGCGAAGGCAGCCUACUGGACUGCAACUGACGUUGAGGCCCGAAAGCGUGGGGAGCAAACAGGAUUAGAUACCCGAGUAGUC